UUUAUUUUAUUUUAUUUGUACUUAUUUAUUAUUAUAGUUAUGGUGUAGCAACUAGGGUUUAGUUUUGGGCUUUAGGCCCAUCUUACUCACACUAAUUAAAAUCUCUAGUACAUGCAUACAUCCCUUUGGUUUUAUUUUUUUUAAUUUUUCUAGAUUUUUUGUCUAAUAAGUUGAUUAAUUAAUUAAUUAAUUUUGUAUUUAUUAAAUAGAUUAUUUUAUUAUAUGAGUUUAAUAUGUUUGGUCAUUUUAUUUAAGUAGUCUCUCU
rnacentral:lncRNA from 1 species